AUUGAACGCUGGCGGCAGGCCUAACACAUGCAAGUCGAGCGGAGCGGCGGACGGGGGCGUGAGGCCUAGGAAUCUGCCUGGUAGUGGGGGAUAACGACCGGAAACGGGCGCUAAUACCGCAUACUAUCAGAUGAGCCUAGGUCGGAUUAGCUAGUUGGUGGGGUAAGGGCCUACCAAGGCGACGAUCCGUAACUGGUCUGAGAGGAUGAGCAGCCACACUGGAACUGAGACACGGUCCAGACUCCUACGGGAGGCAGCAGUGGGGAAUAUUGGACAAUGGGCGAAAGCCUGAUCCAGCCAUGCCGCGUGUAUGAAGAAGGUCUUCGGGUUGUAAAGCACUUUCAGUUGGGAGGCGUUACCCACAGAAGAAGCACCGGCUAACUCCGUGCCAGCAGCCGCGGUAAUUC
rnacentral:rRNA from 1 species